UCGAGAAAAACUCAAAGGAAUACUAAGGCGCCCGUACCGGAAACCGACACAGGUGGGUGGGCAUGAAUGUGCCAAGGCGCGUGAGUGAAACCUCGUUAAGGAACUCGCAAUCUAGCCCCGUAACUUCGGAAGAAGGGGUGCCCACUUUUAGUGGGUCGCAGUGAAAUGGGUGUACCGACUGUUUAUCAAAAACACAGCACUCUGCUAAGUCGUAAGACAACGUAUAGGGUGUGACACGUGACCAAUGCGGAAAGAUUACGGUAAGUGGUUAGCGCAAGCGAAGCUACGAGCCCAAGUCCCCGUGAAUGUCGGCCGUAACGAUAACGGUCCUAAGGUAGCGAAAUUCCUUGUCGGGUAAGUUCCGACCUGCACGAAUCGUGUAACGAGUGCACCGCUGUCUCAACGAGGAGCUCAGCGAAGUUGUAAUGGCGGUGAAGAUGCCGCCUACCCGCAGCAGGACGGAAAGACCCUAUGCACCUUUACUGUACGCUGUUACUGUGUUUUCGAUUUUCAUGCUUAGCGUAAGUGGGAGACUUUGAAGCCAUUCUUUCGGGGAUGGCCGAGUCGUCAAUGAAACACCACCCUUGGAAAUUGGAAACUCUAACCCUCGCCCAUCAACUGGGGAGGGGACACUGGCAGCCGGUCAGUUUUACUGGGGCGGUAUCCUCCCAAAGAGUAACGGAGGAGUACGAAGUUUGGCUCAACCUGGUUGGCAAUCAGGUGACGAGUACAUGGAUAUAAGCCAGACUAACUGUGAGACCUACAAGUCGAGCAGAUGCGAAAGCAGGUCCAAGUGAUCCGGUGUUGAAAGUGGAAUCGCCAUCGCUCAACGGACAAAAGGUACGCUAGGGAUAACAGGCUGAUCGAGUCCAAGAGCUCAUAUCGACGACUCGGUUUGGCACCUCGAUGUCGGCUCAUCACAUCCUGGGGCUGGAGAAGGUCCCAAGGGUCCGGCUGUUCGCCGGUUAAAGUGGUACGCGAGCUGGGUUCAGAACGUCGCGAGACAGUUCGGUCCUUAUCCGCUGUGGGCGCAGGAAAGUUGAGGGGUUUAAACCUUAGUACGAGAGGACCGGGUUUAACGAACCUCUGGUGUUCCAGUUGUCGUGUCAACGGCAGUGCUGGGCAGCUACGUUCGGAAGAGAUAAGCGCUGAAAGCAUCUAAGCGCCAAGCUCCUCCCAAGAUUGACUUUCCCUGAAGAGUCGUGGUAGACCACCACGUUGAUAGGCCAUAGGUAUAAGCGCAGUAAUGCGUUGAGCUUAGUGGUACUAAUAACUCGUCCGGCUUGAUCG
rnacentral:rRNA from 1 species